rnacentral:rRNA from 1 species
UAGGGAAUCUUCGGCAAUGGACGAAAGUCUGACCGAGCAACGCCGCGUGAGUGAAGAAGGUUUUCGGAUCGUAAAACUCUGUUGUUAGAGAAGAACAAGGACGUUAGUAACUGAACGUCCCCUGACGGUAUCUAACCAGAAAGCCACGGCUAACUACGUGCCAGCAGCCGCGGUAAUACGUAGGUGGCAAGCGUUGUCCGGAUUUAUUGGGCGUAAAGCGAGCGCAGGCGGUUUCUUAAGUCUGAUGUGAAAGCCCCCGGCUCAACCGGGGAGGGUCAUUGGAAACUGGGGGACUUGAGUGCAGAAGAGGAGAGUGGAAUUCCAUGUGUAGCGGUGAAAUGCGUAGAUAUAUGGAGGAACACCAGUGGCAAAGGCGGCUAUCUGGUCUGUACCUGACGCUGAGGCUCGAAAGCGUGGGGAGCAAACAGG